GGUGGAAUUUUCCGCAAUGGGCGCAAGCCUGACGGAGCAAGACCGCGUGAGGGAGGAAGGCUCUUGGGUUGUAAACCUCUUCUAUCAGGGAAGAAGAUCUGACGGUACCUGAUGAAUCAGCAUCGGCUAACUCCGUGCCAGCAGCCGCGGUAAUACGGAGGAUGCAAGCGUUAUCCGGAUUUAUUGGGCGUAAAGCGUCCGCAGGUGGUUUUUCAAGUCUGCUGUUAAAGCGCAGAGCUUAACUCUGUAACGGCGGUGGAAACUGAGAGACUAGAGUAUGGUAGGGGUUGCGGGAAUUCCCAGUGUAGCGGUGAAAUGCGUAGAUAUUGGGAAGAACACCAGCGGCGAAAGCGCGCAACUGGGCCAUUACUGACACUCAUGGACGAAAGCUAGGGGAGCGAAAGGGAUUAGAUACCCCUGUAGUCCUAGCUGUAAACGAUGGGUACUAGGUGUUGACCGUAUCGACCCGGUCAGUGCCGUAGCUAACGCGUUAAGUACCC
rnacentral:rRNA from 1 species